CCUUCGCCUCCCCAAUCCGCCCUUGCUUCAUCAGGCAGAUUCCCAGGUUGCACAUCUUGUUGUUGUCUGGCGCCACCACUAGCGCCCUUCUAAACCUGGAACUUCUUCCCUUGGGAUCUAGCAGUCUUUGUUCUCUUCCCAUUGAAGGCCAGCCCUUGUUGGAUCAAGAACAACUUGUGCUUCAGAAGUGCAAUCUGAUCAUCCAAUCUCCCACAUCUCUGAAAAAAAAUAAAAAUAAAAAUAAAAACAGUCAAAGUUGUGAUCUUUUACUGGUUAGAGUCACAAGACACACGGGACACACACAGGAAGUGCACGCCCACUGAUACACCCAAAUCACAGACCUUGAAGAGAUCCAAGAGAAUGUUGUCCAGAGCCUCCUGAGCUUGAUCCGAACACCGGUGCCUCAAUGAUCUAAUCGCUUCAAUGGCUUCUUCCGCCCUGUUUUGCUGCUUCAUCACAAUCGCCAUGUCUUU